rnacentral:rRNA from 1 species
UUGAACGCUGGCGGCAGGCCUAACCCAUGCAAGUCGAACGGUAACAGGAAGAAGCUUGCUUCUUUGCUGACGAGUGGCGGACGGGUGAGUAAUGUCUGGGAAACUGCCUGAUGGAGGGGGAUAACUACUGGAAACGGUAGCUAAUACCGCAUAACGUCGCAAGACCAAAGAGGGGGACCUUCGGGCCUCUUGCCAUCGGAUGUGCCCAGAUGGGAUUAGCUAGUAGGUGGGGUAACGGCUCACCUAGGCGACGAUCCCUAGCUGGUCUGAGAGGAUGACCAGCCACACUGGAACUGAGACACGGUCCAGACUCCUACGGGAGGCAGCAGUGGGGAAUAUUGCACAAAGGGCGCAAGCCUGAUGCAGCCAUGCCGCGUGUAUGAAGAAGGCCUUCGGGUUGUAAAGUACUUUCAGCGGGGAGGAAGGGAGUAAAGUUAAUACCUUUGCUCAUUGACGUUACCCGCAGAAGAAGCACCGGCUAACUCCGUG